rnacentral:rRNA from 1 species
UACGUAGGGUGCGAGCGUUGUCCGGAAUUACUGGCGUAAAGAGCUCGUAGGUGGUUUGUCGCGUUGUUCGUGAAAACCGGGGGCUUAACCCUCGGCGUGCGGGCGAUACGGGCAGACUGGAGUACUGCAGGGGAGACUGGAAUUCCUGGUGUAGCGGUGGAAUGCGCAGAUAUCAGGAGGAACACCGGUGGCGAAGGCGGGUCUCUGGGCAGUAACUGACGCUGAGGAGCGAAAGCGUGGGGAGCGAACAGG